AACCACAUGGACCAAAAAUUCACCUUUCAUCUUUCUCCUACGUCACCUUAUUCCAACUCCUCAUCAUCAUCAAUGCUAGAGAUUGGAGCUGUUUGAGCUUCAACAAUGUCUUUUACGGCUGUUUUCUCACGUGUGAAUUUGUUAAACCUUCCCACAACCAAUCUCCGAUGUUGUAGUACAGCAACAAAACCUCUUAGAUUGUUUAGAUGCUUAACUUUCCCUCACAGGUUGUUUGCCAAUGAGAAUGCAAAUGCCAAAUUUCCUCUCUUCUUUAGGUAAUUAACUAAUUUAUUUAUAUUUUACUAUAUUAUAUUUUUUCUUAUAUUUUAAAUUUUACUCUAGUAGAAUAAUAGAGUAAUGAUUUUUCUUAUCAUAUAUGACUAAUUUCUAAACUAACUCAUAUUCAUAAUAAAUUUGUUGACCAAUGAUGUGAUAAAAUUUAUGAUUAAAUUAUUAUAUUUACCGUUGGUUUGUCAAACGUUUAAUUGAGACAUAAUUAUUUAAUAGCAAAUGAUAUCAAGCGCCUCAAAGAGCAAAUGUUAACAAACUAAAUAUAAAAUUUUAUUAUUUUUAAAAUAAAUAUUUUAUUUUGAUUGCUUAACAAAUAUUCUUAUGAUACAGUUGCCUUGAGGUAGUUGUGAAUUGUGGCCAAGAGCCUUAUUUAAUUAAUGUCCUGUGAAAUCCCUUAUCCUCUCAUAAUGCCUCAGAUUAGUGUGAAAACAUCUGCUAUGCUAUCAAUGACUAAACUUUUGACCAAAGAUUAUUAUCCCUCCAGACCAGAACCACAACAUAACAUUUACCAAGGCAUAUUCCUUACAUUCUCUAAAUUGAUAACUCACAUCCAACCACAUGGACCAAAAAUUCACCUUUCAUCUUUCUCCUACGUCACCUUAUUCCAACUCCUCAUCAUCAUCAAUGCUAGAGAUUGGAGCUGUUUGAGCUUCAACAAUGUCUUUUACGGCUGUUUUCUCACGUGUGAAUUUGUUAAACCUUCCCACAACCAAUCUCCGAUGUUGUAGUACAGCAACAAAACCUCUUAGAUUGUUUAGAUGCUUAACUUUCCCUCACAGGUUGUUUGCCAAUG
rnacentral:lncRNA from 1 species